rnacentral:lncRNA from 1 species
UUAUAGUCAUAUUAUUUAGCAACCAAAUCAAGUAAUAAUAUGCAUAAAUCCUAUAUAAUUGUAUUUUUUUUUUCUUCUUCCAAAAGAUAAUACUAAAAUACAAUUAAUUCCAAAUUUUCUACAACAAAAAUAACAUAAAAAAAAACCAAAAUUAAUUGUAGAAAAAUAAAAUGAAAAUCAAGAUCAAAAUGAUAUACAAAAGUACCAUUUUCAGAGAGAAAAGAUUGAGCCGUCCCCGCCAAUAUCACCACUGUCCACCGCCGCAAAUCACCACCGUCCACCGCCGUCAAUCCACCGGAAAAUCAAGAACUGAUGAAAACACUGCCGGAAAAAUCCAUUUCAAGCAGAAAAAAUCCAACUUUGAAAUCCACAAAGUAAAUACUUUCUGCAUUUGCAUUUCUGACAUCUUCUUGAAAUCUACAGAACCAAAAUCAACAAGAACCUUCAUUGCACACCAACUGUUUGAUAAUUUUCCACCAAAUUUUUUUCAGCACCAAAAUAAGUCCUACAAAAAAAAAAGAUGAGAUUUUUAAAGAAUCCCAUUUACAAAAAAAAUAAAAAGGUGUUUGAUUUUGUCUUUUUGGUGCAUUUUUUGGGGUGUCACAUGAACCAAGAAAGGUGAAAAACAUGGGGCUGAUAAAUGGGUGUGUAGGUACUAUCAUUACUGUGAUACGUUGCUCAGACUCUUCAAAAAUAUUAUUAGAAAAGUGUCUAAUCCUUCAAAAGUAGGGUGCGAUAACAUUUUUGAAAAGUUCGAACAAUUUAUAUAAUACUACUAUAUGUCAUAUUGUUUUAUUUUCUAACUAAUUCAGAUUCAUGUUGAUAAAAAGAUUAUAGCUUUAGCACUUCCUACUAAAUAAAAAGGUCAAUUAUGAGAGUUUUAGUACUCCUUACCAAAGAACAUCUCAUGAUUCGAACUCGAGACUUCUCCAUUACCAUUCCACUACACACCAUUACAUGAAACACUUAGUGGCUCCUACCCCCCAAAAAAAAAAAAGUUCCAUCUCAAGAUUCAAAUCCGAGACUUUACGUCAAGAAUGAAGAGAUCUUUACUUCAUUUCAAGAUUUGAACUCCAGACUUUUUAUCAAGAAUGAAGAGACCUUUACCCUUCCUCAACACCCUUUUAGUGAAACUUCUUUGUUUGUUUUGUUUUCUUCACAACCUUUAUGAUAAAAAGAGGAUGUUUGAUGAGCAAAGUUGUCCUAUCCUUAAAAUCAUGUGUUGGUAGUACUUACUACUAAGUCUAUGAGGGAAUUAGGUGUGAUAGGAAGAGAGAAAGAAGAGGGGAAAAAGAAGGUUAAGGAGACAAUUUAAGGACAUUGAAAGAGAAAUCCUUUGUGCCUUGUAAGUUUGUAUAUGUCUAUUCCCAACACAGUGUGACCAUCUGUCUUAUUAAACAAACAUAAUGAAGCCAAUAGUGUUAGCUUUGUGUUAUGUUAUUUGGGCAUGGGCUUGACAUUGAUUGACACUAAUAAAACCCCACACCUCUUUAGUUCAACAAGUAAGCUAAACAAGAUUUGAGAUCGUGGAUUCUGAAGUUGAAAUUUGAAAAUUUGAGUUUUUUUUGAAAUUGUGUUUGGACGUUUUGGAAAAGGAUGGAAGUUUUGUAAGUGGAAGUCUGAUUAGAUAUUCAAAAUCUGAUCAAAUUUCAUGGCGAAACAAAUAUUUAGAGUUAAUUUUUUAAAAUCUACUCCAGAAAUAUGUGACCAAACGGGAGCUUGAGACUAUUUCAUUUCUAAAUCUUUCAAUUUUAUAGAUGUUUUUUCAGAUGAUUCUGGUGUUCGUGUUACCUUACUUGUACCUCAAUUAUUUCAUUUCGUUUUUGUUAUUUCACUCAUCGGUGCAUGUUAACUAUGUCCAUCAAAUUAGGUAGAUACACCCCCCCCCCACCAUCCUCUCCCCAAGACUUAGGGCCCAUUUGGAUUGGCUUAAAAAAAGUAGUUUUUAAAUCAAAAAUAAAAGUCAAAUUGAAAUGACUUUUAAGUCAAAAAAUAAAAAGUAAUGGGGAGACCUACGUUUGGUUUUUGACUUAUUUUAAGUCAUUCUUGACCUUGCCAAACACUUCUCAACUUAUUUUAAGUUAUUUUUUAUAUUUGUCAAACACUUUCAGAAAUAAAAAACUGACUUAAAAGUAAGUUUGACCAACUUUUAAGUCAAUCCAAACACCCUCUUAGCUCAAUUGACAAAGGUUAAUAUAUUUGAGGCUUAGGUCACAAGUUGAGUUAUAUGUCGAACGAACUUUGUCUAGUAUUUAAGUAGGGAGGGAUAGAAAAGGCGAGGUCAUUAUUUACCAGUUUUCCAAGUUUAAGUUGACCCUUAGGAUAGACUUCAAACGGAUUUCUUAAAUGGUUGAAUAUGAUUGGUUAUUCUGAAUAUUUUACUUAGACACUUCAGCUAAAAAUUCGACCUAUUAAGCUCUUAAAUUGUACUCAAAAUGUAUCAAUUGACCUUCCAACACUCCCCUCAAAAGAUAUUUGAGUGAACACUAUAUUAGUCAUUUGUUAUAUGUUUAUACUAAAUCAAAAGAUACAUAAUAUAUAUUUAUUUGAAUAUAAAUAUAUCACUCAACUCAUAAUUAAGUUUUCAUCUCAUUUAAUCAUAUGAUAAAUUUAAUAUAAAUACCUACUACAAAUAAAAUUUUCAUUCCUCCCCCCCCCCCCCCCCCACCCCUCAAGACAAACACCCUUGGGUCAAUUUCCCAAUUUUUUCACUUCACACCUUACAUUAUAUUGCCUCAAAAGUCCAGUUCCCAAUUUAUCUAGAUUUGCACAAGCAAUCUCUGUCUUAUUUUCUUUCCUUUAUUUAGCCUUCAUUUAUUACUAAUUUCCCUUUCUAUCCUCCCUAGAUACUGAUGCACAUUACACAUUCAAGAAAAGAGGUUCAACCAAAAAAAGAAAGAAAUUAAGAUGAAGCUGUAAACACUUUUUCAUUAUAAUUAGAGGUUUCACGUUUGUAUUAAGAAUAUAUAGUUGCAGUUGUCAAAGAGCAUUUUACCUUUCAAAUGUGAAAAUUUCCAACGUUUUUAGUCUGAAUUUAGUGAAGCCUUAAUAAAGAUGUCAAAGACCAGACGAGAAAUAAAUAAAUAAAAGGGAGGUUCAAAGUUUAUUUAUUUUUUAUAAAAAUAAGUCAUUUUUUUCAAUAUGUUAACACUAAUUCAAAAUGUAUAUAUAUAUAUAUAUAUAUAUAUAUUGCAUCUUUUUAUAUAUAUAUAUAUAUAUAUAUAUAUUGCAGCUUUUGAGUAGUGUAUAUUAUAUUUAUUAUAGUACAAGUUUUUUUAAUGAGAGAUGACCUGACUACUGACUAAAAGGGCAUCAAUUUCAAGAAAAUUUCAAAAAAUAAAUAAAUAAUUAUAUUAUAUAUUGUGAUAAUUUUGUUUAUUUGCUAUUAUUGUCUUUAUUUUUCUUUAUUUCAUGCUUUGUUUUAUGCCUUCUAGAAUCAAAGAUCUAUGAGAAAUAAAUUCAGAUCUCAUAAAUAUAGAAAUAUGAUCGGCAUACAUUCUAUCUUUUCUAUACUUUACUUAUAAAAUUAAAUAAAAUAUGUCAUUAUUAUUAUUAUUAAUUUUUAUUAUUUAAUUAUUUUUUUAUAUUCUUUAUUUAUGUUUCUCGAGACCAUCACCAAAGCAAAAUCCAAGAAUUUGUGGCCUAACAACAUUCAUUUGUUGGACUCAAUAGGGGGAGCUAAACAAGAAUGCUAAUUAGCUACUUUUCCCAAUAAACUUGGUUUUUGUUGACUCUUUUAGUCAAAUAUAAUAAGUUUUGUGGGCCCAAAAGGUUUGAAAAAAAUGGUCCCACUAAGUAACUUUUACAUUUUUUUAAAAAAAAAAAUAAAUUUUUACUUAAUAUUAUUUAAUUAUAAAAAAAAAUUACAUUAUCAAAACAAUUAUGAGGGAGUAACAAUUUAUUAAAAAAAAGUGAAAUUAGUAUCUUGUGAAAUAAGAUAAAAGCAACUUCAUUCAUAUAAAAAUACAUGAAUAGUGUGAAUUUUGUACACUAUAAAAGCUAGGGCAGAUAUAUUAUUUAUUAUACUAUUCAGUAGAAUUUAAUAGUUUUGGUUGAAUUUUAUAUAUUGAGAUAAAAAUAAAAUACACAAAUAAUUAUUUUAUUAAUAAUAUAUCUAAUAUAAUUCAGAUAGUAUGAACGCAAAUCUCACCUCUAGUUUUGUAGGAUAAAUAGAUUGUUUUAAAUUCAAUUGGUGAAACUCUAAGACAUUAUUAUAUUGAUUCAUCAUAUCCUUCAAAUUUCAAACCCCAUAAUAACGAUUAUUUUAUGAAAUUUGAAACUCUGAAUGACUAUUUUACUAUUAUAAAGCUGAAAAGUGGCUAGUCGACUAAAAAUAUGUACAUAUAAUAUGAUGCAAACUAAUAGUAUAAAUGAGUAAGUUUUAUAAAAAGCGAUGGAUUAUCAUGACAUAUAAACUUCAAAUUUUGAAUUCGGAUCAAAUUAUUAGGUAAUGAGUUAAAAGUUGAUAGGUAAAAAUAAUGUAAGAAGAGGUACAUGAUUUUCCUACCCCAUUUGCAAUUACUAACAUCUGCCAGAACAGUAUUUACAACUGAUGGCACAUUUAUUAUGAUGUGAUUUUAUUUACUGUAUUUAUUAGAUUUCUGUUUCCAUUAGGUCAAGGAUUUAAAACUUGUCUCACUUAGGUCAAGUAUUUUUCUAAUAAAUGUAUUAUAGGUGAAAAUUUGAAAUAUCCAAGUUUGCUAGUACAAACACUAAAAUAUUUUUUUGUUUGUAUAUAGUUUAAAUUAAACAAGAUUUUGAAAAAAGGAAUGUGUUACAUCUUAGACAAAUACCUACUAUAUCAUACGGAGAUAGAAAAUGAAGAGUUUUAUAAGAUAUAACACACGUUUACCUGGUAUGCACACUUUCCAGAUGGAUGAUGAUGUAUCUCCAAAACAAAUUCGUGAGGCCUGUUGAGCCAAAGUGAACAAUGUAUAUCAUGAGCUUAAGUUGUGAUCACACUUCAUUCUAGAAAUGUUCGAGCCCUUAUUAGUUGCUAAUAAAAAUCCCUAGACGCAAAGAGUAGGUACGAUCUAAUUUUUUUAAUAGAGGGAAAGCUGGUAAAAACUAUAAAAUGUGUAUGCUACUCGCUCUCUCUCUCUAUCAAUUCAUGAAGCUUAGGUAGGAGAAAAAUGUAAAUUAUCAAACGAAUUUAUAUCAGGCAUAGUUCGUUAGGACAACUCAUUAGUCAUUAAUUAAUGGGAAAAUUGUAUAUAAUAGCAAACUAUUAAUUCAAAUUAAAUGCUAUAAAUAUAGUUUGAUUUAAUUGUACAUCAUAGCAAAUUGUUGCUAUUUCACCUCUCUCCUGGUGAAUCUCGCUUGCCACUCUCAUUCUCUCCCUCGCCUCUCUUGUUUUUUAUACAAACGCAAAGUGUAUAAAGUGUGUUUGUGUUUGUAUAAAGCGAGAGAAAAUUGUAUAUAUACAUAUAUUUUCGUUCCCCUCUCUCCCCUCUCCCAGAUCUCACUCGCCACUCUCCCAGAUCUCGCUCACCACUCUCCCAGAUCUCGCUCUCUCACUCACCUCUCUCACUUUAUACAAUUUAUCUUUUUGUAUAUGUAUACCAAAACANNNNNNNNNNNNNNNNNNNNNNNNNNNNNNNNNNNNNNNNNNNNNNNNNNNNNNNNNNNNNNNNNNNNNNNNNNNNNNNNNNNNNNNNNNNNNNNNNNNNNNNNNNNNNNNNNNNNNNNNNNNNNNNNNNNNNNNNNNNNNNNNNNNNNNNNNNNNNNNNNNNNNNNNNNNNNNNNNNNNNNNNNNNNNNNNNNNNNNNNNNNNNNNNNNNNNNNNNNNNNNNNNNNNNNNNNNNNNNNNNNNNNNNNNNNNNNNNNNNNNNNACUUUUUGUAUAUGUAUACCAAAGCAGACUAUAUAACUGUUUUUUUUUUGUAUAUGUAUAGCGAAUUAUACAUAUAUAUUUGCUAUGGAGCGCAAUUAUGCAAACUUUGCUAUAACAUACAAAUAUGAAUUUUGUGUUUGCUAUAUGUGAACUUAAUUAAUAGAUAGAUAUAGAUAAGUGUGAACAAACAAAAAUAUAUAUAGAAAAAAAAAAUUAAAAACAGAGUUGGGAUUUACUAAAAUGAGGAAAACAACUAUAGUUCUUUAUCCAAGAAAACAUUAAAAGGUAAAAAAAAUUAAAUGCUAACUAAUUGCUAGAUCAAUAAUGUACAAAAGAAAGGAAAUAAAUUAAAUGCUAACCAAUUCCUAGAUCAAUUCUUAUGCACCAAAAUGGAACUCUAAGAAAAUGAUUGAAGUAACUAAUUACUUAUGUUGCUCGAUUUUUUUUUAAAAAUGAUGUCGCAUUCAAAGAUCUUUAAAAAAUAUAUUUUAAAAAAGAUUAAUACAUAGCUUUUAAUAUAUUUUAUGAAAAAUCCGAACAACGUAAAUGAUUGUUAAUACAAUUAUUAUACACCAAAAUGGAACUCAAGAAAAUGAUAGAAUCCUAAAGACUAUAAAGCAAAGAACCCCAUAUGGAGAAAGUUCAAUAUUUAUCAUAAAUAUAGACAAAAGAAGAACUAAAUAAGUUAAUAUAUAUAUAUAUAUAUAUAUAUAUAUAUAUAUGUAUAAAUAUAAAAAUAUAUGCACAGAUAUCAAUCAUUUUCAGAACAGAUAUUUUCUGAGAUCAAACCCUACUUUUCCUGUAUUUGUAUCUGUCCCUUUUAUCACUGCCAUGUAUAACAUGGAGUGUUGCAAGUGAAUUCAAUUGAACUCUUAUUUUUAGCAUAAAAGAAGAUUUUGAGUUUGAGUUUUUGAGAAUAGAUAAUGAAUUCGUUAUAUGUAUGUAUGGAUGGAUUCAUACUAUUAAUCGAUCGAUGAAUUCGUACUAUCAAAGGAUAUGAUCUAAUUAUUCUUAAUUAAAAGUUUCGAGCUUGAGUUUUGAAAAUGGAGAAAUUUCUGAUAGGGAGUAUAAAUAUCCUCGUAUAUUGCUCUACGAGGUAACAAAAGGUCUUGAAUUUGAGUUUAUGAGUUUUGGAUUAAUUUUUUAUACCUAUUUUGUAAAUCUCUUAAUGUAAAAAACAUAGUUUUUGGCCUAAGCUACAACAGUAGCGAAAUCAGAUUUUUUUUUUUUUGUUAAUUCAUAUAUAUAGAAUGAUUUUUAAUAUAAAAAAUAUUUUUUUUAAUGAAGAGUGUUUAACUAAUCACCCUUCAUUACGUGGCUACAACACUAGGUUGUGCCAAACCCAUACCUUAUACCUAUACAUCUAGCUCCGCCCCUACUAUGCGACACAAUUCCAUAUUUUUUUUAUUCAUAUAUAUAAUAUAACAAUUUUCGAUGAAAGGUGUUCACAUACUCAUUCUUUAUUAUGUGUGGUUACACCACUAACUAGAAGCUAUUAGGUACUGUUGAAUCCAUAAUUAUACAUCAAGCUUCGAACUUAAAAUAUAACAUGAAUCUAAAUUAGUCGAUUCAGUAUAUUCUGAAGGUAGAUAAUUAUACCAAAAACAAACACCAACACAACAUGUAUAUAUAUAUAUAUAUAUAUAUAUAUAUAUAUAUAAAAAAAAAGAGAAAUGAAGAGUACCUUUCAAAUUUCCAUUAAUAGAGGCAAAAAACUUGUGCAUGGAUCCAUUAAUACAAAACUUAUUGUAUGUUUGGAAACUAAGAAAAGAAAUAGUACUAGUAGAAGGAGU